rnacentral:rRNA from 1 species
CACGUAGGCACCAAGCGUUGUCCGGAUUUAUUGGGCGUAAAGAGCUCGUAGGCGGUUCGUCGCGUCGGCUGUGAAAACUCGAGGCUCAACCUCGAGACGCCGAUGGAAACCGUCUGGCUAGAGUCCGGAAGAGGAGAGUGGAAUUCCCGGUGUAGCGGUGAAAUGCGCAGAUAUCGGGAAGAACACCCGUGGCUAAGGCGACUCUCUAGUACGGUACUGACGCUGAGACGCGAAAGCGUGGGGAGCGAACAGG